AACGAACGCUGGCGGCAGGCUUAACACAUGCAAGUCGAACGCAUCCUUCGGGGUGAGUGGCAGACGGGUGAGUAACGCGUGGGAACGUGCCCUUCAGUUCGGGAUAACCCAGGGAAACUUGGGCUAAUACCGGAUACGAGCGAGAGCAGAAAGAUUUAUCGCUGAAGGAUCGGCCCGCGUCUGAUUAGCUAGUUGGUGGGGGAAUGGCCCACCAAGGCGACGAUCAGUAGCUGGUCUGAGAGGAUGAUCAGCCACAUUGGGACUGAGACACGGCCCAGACUCCUACGGGAGGCAGCAGUGGGGAAUAUUGGACAAUGGGCGCAAGCCUGAUCCAGCCAUGCCGCGUGAGUGAUGAAGGCCUUAGGGUUGUAAAGCUCUUUCGUCCGGGACGAUAAUGACGGUACCGGAAGAAGAAGCCCCGGCUAACUUCGUGCCAGCCGCCGCUGUAA
rnacentral:rRNA from 1 species